UGUGGAUUAGUGAGGAAUGUGGGACAAGGUCAGGUCACUGAUAAAGUUGGACAGCUGUGGAUUAGUGAGAAAUGUGGGACGAGGUCAGGUCAGGUCACUGAUAAGGUUGGACAGCUGUGGAUUAGUGAGGAAUGUGGGACAAGGUCAGGUCACUGAUAAAGUUGGACAGCUGUGGAUUAGUGAGAAAUGUGGGACGAGGUCAGGUCAGGUCACUGAUAAAUUUGGACAGCUGUGGAUUAGAGAGGAAUGAGGGACAAGAUCAGGUCAGUGAUAAGGUUGGACAGCUGUGGAUUAGUGAGGAAUGUGGGCGAGGUCAGGUCAGGUCACUGAUAAGGUUGGACAGCUGUGGAUUAGUGAGGAAUGGAGGACGAGGUCAGGUCAGGUCACUGAUAAGGUUGGACAGCUGUGGAUUAGUGAGGAAUGGGGGCCGAGGUCAGGUCAGAUCCCUGAUAAGGUUGGACACCUGAGGAUUAUAGAGGAACGUGGGCCUAGGUCAGGUCACUGAUAAGGUUGGUCAGCUGUGGAUUAGUGAGGAAUUGGGGACGAGGUCAGGUUAGGUCAUUGAUAAAUUUGGACAGCUGUGGAUUAGAGAGGAAUGUGGGACAAGGUCAGGUCACUGAUAAGGUUGGACAGCUGUGGAUUAGUGAGGAAUGGAGGACGAGGCCAGGUCAGGUCAGUGAUAAGGUUGGACAGCUGUGGAUUAGUGAGGAAUGGAGGACGAGGUCAGGUCAGGUCACUGAUAAAUUUGGACAGCUGUGGAUUAGUGAGGAAUGCAGGAAAAGAUCAGGUCAGUUAUAAGGUUGGACAGCUGUGAAUUAGUGAGGAAUGAGGGACAAAUUCAGGUCACAAUAAAGUUGGACAGCUGUGGAUUAGUGAGAAUUGUGGGACGAGUUCAGGUCAGGUCAGUUAUAAUGUUGGACAGCUGUGCAUUAGUGAGGAAUGGGGGCCGAGGGCAGGUCAGGUCACUGAUAAGGUUGGACAGCUGUGGAUUAGUGAGGAAUGGGGGCCGAGGGCAGGUCAGGUCACUGAUAAGGUUGGACAGCUGUGGAUUAGUGAGAAAUGUG